rnacentral:rRNA from 1 species
UACGUAGGGUGCGAGCGUUAAUCGGAAUUACUGGGCGUAAAGCGUGCGCAGGCGGUUCGUUGUGUCGGCGGUGAAAGCCCCGGGCUCAACCUGGGAAUGGCCGUUGAAACUGGCGAACUGGAGUGUGGCAGAGGGGGGGUGGAAUUCCGCGUGUAGCAGUGAAAUGCGUAGAGAUGCGGAGGAACACCUGUGGCGAAAGCGGCUCACUGGACCAUUACUGACGCUGAUGCACGAAAGCUAGGGGAGCAAACAGG